UUUGAUGAUCACUAUAAAUAGCAACUAGUUUUAUUUAAAUUGGAUUAUAAUAUACUCUAAGUUGAACAAUGAUGAAAAUCAAGUCUUUUAUUUUCAUACUUUUUAUUUAUACAUUAUUUUUUAUCUCUAUUAUGGGAUAUGAGACAUCCAAAGAUGAGAAUCAAAUUGGAGUAACAAAAGAAUUCAAAAUCAAAACUGGAAUAGAUAAUAACAAUGGAAAUGACUAUAAAUUUGGAUACAAUAUUACUGGUCGAGAUUGGAAAGGUCCAGGAGGUUGGAGGCUAAGAAAAGAUUCAACAGGUGGCUUAAACAACAAAGUUUAAAGACAUAUGAGUCAUCAAUGAAAACCAAACUCAUAUAUGUGUCUCAAUAAUAUUUAAUAAAAAACAAUAUGAACUUUAUCUUAUUUCAUGUCUAGUUUAUAAUAGGAACAUAUUUUUCUAAAUUAAUAGAUUUAUUGUAUUUUUAUAUAUAUUGUACCUAUUAUAUUAUCAUAAUUAUUUAUAUACGAAAUGUCAUAUUAUAUUAUUUUGUUCAA